UAGGGAAUCUUCGGCAAUGGACGAAAGUCUGACCGAGCAACGCCGCGUGAGUGAAGAAGGUUUUCGGAUCGUAAAACUCUGUUGUUAGAGAAGAACAAGGACGUUAGUAACUGAACGUCCCCUGACGGUAUCUAACCAGAAAGCCACGGCUAACUACGUGCCAGCAGCCGCGGUAAUACGUAGGUGGCAAGCGUUGUCCGGAUUUAUUGGGCGUAAAGCGAGCGCAGGCGGUUUCUUAAGUCUGAUGUGAAAGCCCCCGGCUCAACCGGGGAGGGUCAUUGGAAACUGGGAGACUUGAGUGCAGAAGAGGAGAGUGGAAUUCCAGUUGUAGCGGUGAAAUGCGUAGAUAUAUGGAGGAACACCGGUGGCGAAGGCGGCUCUCUGGUCUGUAACGGACGCUGAGGCUCGAAAGCGUGGGGAGCAAACAGG
rnacentral:rRNA from 1 species